GAGGAAUAUUGGUCAAUGGGCGAGAGCCUGAACCAGCCAAGUCGCGUGAGGGAAGACGGUCCUACGGAUUGUAAACCUCUUUUGCCGGGGAGCAACGGGCGCCACGUGUGGCGCUGUGAGCGUACCCGGAGAAAAAGCAUCGGCUAACUCCGUGCCAGCAGCCGCGGUAAUACGGAGGAUGCGAGCGUUAUCCGGAUUUAUUGGGUUUAAAGGGUGCGUAGGCGGCACACCAAGUCAGCGGUAAAAAUUCGGGGCUCAACCCCGUACGGCCGUUGAAACUGGUGGGCUGGAGUACGUCAGGAGCAUGCGGAAUGCGCAGUGUAGCGGUGAAAUGCAUAGAUAUUGCGCAGAACUCCGAUCGCGAAGGCAGCAUGCUAUGGCGGGACUGACGCUGAGGCACGAAAGCGUGGGGAUCGAAC
rnacentral:rRNA from 1 species